GUCCACGGAUUGUUAGUUUUUAAAAUAAGAAUGAUGUCUUUGUACUUAAUGAAACAACCCUUCAUUGCUUGUCAAGAGGACUCAGGAUAUCAACUCUCCAGGCCCCUGGCAAUGCAGUAUACAUCAAAUGAGUUUAGGAGUGAAGAAUGAAAUGGAUAAAUAGAUAAAUAAAUGGGCUAUCCUAACAUAGUGCAACACCCGGAAGAGGAGAUUUGACAAAGGAGAAGAAAACUGAGCUAUAGAGAUGGAGAGAAAAGGUA